ACCAGCUUAGUAUAAAAAGUACCUUGGAUUGUAAGUCCAGUAGUGAUUAAGUCAGUUGGAG
rnacentral:tRNA from 1 species